rnacentral:lncRNA from 10 species
GAUUUUUACUAGAUGCAAAAGAUGUAGUGCAAUAUGGCGUAUUCAGAUGUGAGGAAUAAUGUUACCUAGAGGACCUCUUUCAUAAAGAUGAUGCACGUAUAUUCUCAUUCUUAUUGAUAUUGAGUGUUUUAAGAAAUCCCAAAUCAAUGAAAAUGUGGUUUAAAAAAACAUUCUUUUUCAAAAAUAAAAAUAAUCUGAAGUCCUCAGAGAGUAUUAAUCUCAAUUACAUUUAGAAAAUAAAAGAAAUUUGUAAAUCAUAGAAUCUUUGACUUGAAAGAUACUUUAGAAAUCAAAGUAUCUUUACUUUGAUUUAGAAAUCAAAGUCCCACUAUAAACCAUUCUUUUGUUUUUGACUGCCCAACCUCCAUUUUUCCCUUUGCUAAUAAUACUCUGGUUUUUGGGGAACUUUCCUGCUCCUCACUCUCAGUCCUUGUGAUUUGGGUGGGACUGAUUUCUGUAAUCUCUUGGUCCGAAUGGUUAAUCAAAAUAUUUUUCCUUGCCAUAUAAUUCAUUCUGGUCACUAUAUAUACCAAGACAUGAAGAUCCAUUUCCGAACUGUUGCUGGGAAAAUAAAGCUCUAUCUCAACUGGAAUGGCUGUUAAGUUUGGAUGUUAAACUUAUACUGUUGGUACCUAUCUUGCCAACCUAAGUUUAAGAGAGUUUACCUGAAUAAAAUGUACACUUUUGAUAGCAGAACCAAGAAGUGGAAAGAGACUAAGUCUGGAUGAACUUGUCUGAGCCCCUUAAUAGAGCUCGAUGGGCUCUAUUCAUAAAAUCUACUAAAUCCAGGAAUAAGUUCUACAAUAUUUAUUCCUGUGAAAUGACCAUCUGAUAUCUAAUUAAACAACUUACACUGCAGGAGUAUCAAACCUCAUAAACAAAUCAAUGUCUUUUCAACAUCAACAUGUUUUAGAAAUUUUAUUAUAUUGAACAUAGAUUUGCUUUCCUUUGUUUUCUCCUUCGAUCCUAGGUCUGCCUUCUGGUGAUAAGCAGUGAAAUCAUGAGGUAGUCAUAUCCCAAUUCCCAGACAACAUGCUUCUCUUUCCUGGGUUGGACAUUCAAGACUCCAAAAUCCGUCUCAGGUAAAGUGUCCACUCUAAGCUCCACUGGCCCCUUAUUUGAAUUGUCUACUCUAUUUCUGGUGUCCAUUUGUCAUUAUCUUAACAUGUCAGAUACAUUUCCAAUGCUGCAUCUU